rnacentral:rRNA from 1 species
AAUAUGUUAGGUAAAUUCUGCUCUAUGAAAUAUUAGUUUUAAUGGCCGCAGUAAACUGACUGUGCUAAGGUAGCAUAAUAAAUUGGCCUUUAAUUGGGGUCUGGUAUGAACGGGAAUAUAUGUGAUGACUGUCUCAUUUGUAAUUACCAAAAUUUACUUAGUAGGUGAAAAUGCCUAUAAGAAAUAUUGAAGGACGAUAAGACCCUUAGAAUUAUUAAAAAGUUGAUAUAACUAAUACUCUUACUUUUUUUGUUGGGGCGACAUAUUAUCAUGCAACAUAAUUUUAUUUACUUAUUACAAGACUAAUUUAUUUAGUAAGAUUUAAUUACCUGAGGGAUAACAGCAUAAUAUUACUAUAUGUUUAUGACCUCGAUGUUGGACUAGGUAAUCUAUUAACUAACAGUUACUAGUUAUUGUUCUGUUCGAACAGUUAC